CCUACGGGAGGCAGCAGUCGGGAAUUUUGCGCAAUGGCCGCAAGGCUGACGCAGCAACGCCGCGUGAGUGAAGAAGGCCUUCGGGUUGUAAAGCUCUGUUGCCCGUGACGAACGGCGCUAUCAGGAAAUGGGUAGCGUUUGACGGUAGCGGGAGAGGAAGCCCCGGCUAACUACGUGCCAGCAGCCGCGGUAAU
rnacentral:rRNA from 1 species